CCAGUCCAGUGAGUGGUAACCCUCCUUCGCCAGAGCUGGAGCUCUCCUUCGGCCAGGCUCAUCCUCCUCCUCGGGCUGCUCGGAGCGAGUGAGGCGGUGGAGCCGCAUGGACACGAAGAUGCCUGGGUUCGUAUCGGGAGGUUCAUGCUUAGGGUGCUGACCGUACUGGAGUGGUGUUGCGUUCCCACCUGGCACAUACUGGCGUGUCUUUACUUCGUGCAUAUCUGGGGUUCGGAUUCCAUUUGCAUCGGCCUCGGGGGCAUGCUCCAGUGGCUUGUGGGGGCAACACCAUUCGUCUCGCUUUUCAUCGUACUGUUCACCUUCCUAUUCAAGGAGUUCGGCUACAGACGGGCAUGGGUGAGGUUGCUCCACGCUUUCGCGUUGAGUGUCUUAUUUUCGUGGCUGUUCAUCUGCUACUGAGAGUAUUAUCUUAUGUAUCUUCGAGCGUUUAGAAAGUCCUAUGUAUGUCAACUCUGGCAGACGAUGAUUGCCGCACUGGCUUAUUUAUGUAUCUAAGACUAUUGAGACUGCAUUUGCAGAGCAGUGCUUAAUGCUUUCA